CGAUCUGAAAACCAAAACUAAACCCAAUCACCACCAAUCGCCCGUCUCUCGAAGAGUGGCGAAAAAUGCCACAGAAAGUCGUGCACUGGCAAUAAUCAUCAUUUGGAGGAGGAAGAAAGGAUGGACCCCGUAACAGUGCCAGAGCCAGAGCCAGAGCCUGGGUCUGAUCCGGCAGCGUUUGCUCUUCUCUGACUCUAUUUUGUCGGCGAACAUGGAUCUAGUGCACGGUUGUUCAUGAUUAAGUUCGUGACUAGAUUUCAUGCUCGUCUAUUAAGUUGGGUCAACACAACGAACCGAAAGAGCAGAGCAACGCAGUUGUCGAAAAUUGCACUCCAGCCAGCAGUGCAGCCAGCACUCUCACUCCCACUCCCACUCCCAAUCGCUCUCCCCAGGAGAAACGCUGGGUUGGGUCUUGGGCAAUUAAAAGACGCAUUAAUUAUGGGAAACGUAUUCUCAUAUAUGACGGGAUUGGAUUCCGUAUUGCAUGAUUGACCCGUGACCCACAUAAUGGCACACGCCCCGCAGCAGCAGCAGCAGCAGCAGCGGUAGCGGUAGCAUGCAGCUUUCAAUGAGGGCGUGUAGUAAGUUGGACAAAACCAAAGAAGAAAUAAAAAGAGUCAAUGGCCUUUAACCGAUGACUGUUGUAACUCGCUGGCUCGGCGGCUCGGCUCACACGCCCCUCGAGCGCCCAGCAGCCCGCAUCUCGUGUCUUGUGGACAGUAGCUUGACGCUGGGAUCGGAUCGGUGAUUUGUGUGUGUUGAGUGCCUUUUUAUCGGGACGGGACUGUAACAGAGCAGAGUGGAGUGUCAGGCUGCAGCUAGUGACAGCCAGCAGCAGCAGCGCCAGCGGGCCACCAAUUUAUGGGCUAGUCGCACGCGAUUAAAAAUCGAAUGCGCACGGCCUGGGCCUGGGUUGACAAAAACAAAUGGAAACUGCAAUGCAAUGGAUUGCCUGUCGAGGAGUUGCUCGCUGCAGCUAAGCUAGCCCAGCGUGUGAAAAUCCAACAGGGCUGGCUGUGUUUGCCAAGGCUUUGGCGCCUGCGGCUGAAGGAACGAGCGAAUGGAGCCGGAACACCUUCUUAACCCUGUUUCAUUGUUAUUUCUGCUGCUUCACGCUCAUUUAAAUGCCAACGCACCGGAGAGGGCGAAGAGAGUCGAGUCUACUUUACAUAUUUUCUAAAUGAAUGCCGUUUGUUUUGUUUUUUCCUGUAUUGUUAUUUGUAGGUACAGACAUAUCCAUCGAGUUGCAACCCCAGCUAAGAAGAGCAUUGAAUUGCAACGGCUGUGGCAGGGGAGGCUGAUGUCGUGGCGUGGCGUGGCCUGGCCUGGCUUUCCCUGUACUGCACUGAAUUUCCACUUCCUCCCUCCCAGCCAGCCAGGCAGCCGGUCGACAAUCAGGAACGACAAGAAGUCGCCAUGACACUGGCAGCCUCGUCAAACGCUGAAACUAAUUGAUAUAAUAGUUAAAAUAACAAACUAACAAGAAGACGUGGUGGCGGGAGAAGAGGCGAAAGAGGUUGCACCGCGACUGCAGUGCGGCGGCGUUGGUGAAGUGCAAAACCUUUCCAAUUUGAAAAUAGUUUUCCUGCUAUGUGUGCUCGUUCCCACAAACAGAAAUACCAACAACAGCGGCAGCGGCAGCAGCAGCAGCAGCAGCAGUCAGAACAAGCACAGCAACAAUGCCUGCACUUUACAACGACGCCAUUGGGGCAGAGGAGGAGAACAACUACAAGAAGCAGACGGGGACGGAGAAGAAGAAGGAGUAGCGGCAAGCGGUGGAUCGGAUCGGGAAAAGUAGAAGCACCAGCAAUCGGUGGAGCUGGAGUAGCAGAACCACCAGCAAACGAUGAUUGGGAAAAGGAAGGAGCCCCAGCAGCAGGGGGGACGGGGGGAUACAUACCCGUAGUCAGCAAAGAUGACAAUGCAGCGAUUAAAGCAAUGCAGAACGGAGAAGAGAUGCGCGAACAACUUGAACUCUAGUCGAUGUCGAUGUCGAUGCCGACAGCAACAGCAACAGCAGAAGCAGCUGGAAAAAUGUUUGCCCCAAUCCCAAUGCGCGGCAUUUCCGUUUACCAGCGGAGGAUGCGGCUGGGCUGCCGACGCUGAUGCACUUUGCAAUCGGCACUCCACUGUUCUGACCAACGGCCCGGACGGACGGGAAAGAAAAGAUAAUCACAUUUAUUAAAUCAAAAUACAAGAUGUUUGUAUGCACUUCCUAAAA
rnacentral:sRNA from 1 species